UAAAAAAGACUGCAAAGACUCUUUAUGCCUUCAUGGAAGGGAGUCCUGUGCGACAUGCAGUAAUGGAGAAGAUUUCACAAGA